UUUGGUGAAUUUGAUCUUCUUCAGUAAUUUUUUGCUUGUAGUCAACUUAAUUGUAAAGAAAUUUGAAAAAUUUGAGUUAAAAUAAAUGCUUCAUUCAUUAAUUAUUGAGGUUUAAAUCUACUGUAGGAAUUACUUGGAUUAUUUAGGGUUUAGAUAGGGUUUGAUUAAGAUUUGGUUAGGAUUUGUUUAGAAUUUUAUUAGGAUUUAUUUAGGAUUUUUGAAGAUUUGGUUAGGAUUUAACUAGCAUUUGAUUAAGAUUUGAGUAGGAUUUGUUUAGGAUUUGGUUAGAAUUUGUUUAGGAUCUGAUUAAGAUUUAUUUAGGGUUGACUAAGAUUUGAUUAAAAUUUGAUUAGGAUUUGGUUAGGAUUUGGUUAGAGUUUAAUUAAGAUUUGGUUAAUAUUUGAUUAGGAUUUGAUUAGGAUUUGGUUAAGAUUUGAUUAGGAUUUGAUUAAGAUUUGAUUAAGAUUUGAUUAAGUUUUAUUUAGGAUUUGAUUAAAAUUUGAUUAGGAUUUGUUUAGGAUUUAACUAGGAUUUGGUUAAGGUUUGUUUAAGAUUUGUUUAGGAUUUGACUAGGAUUUGGUUAAGGUUUUUUUAAGAUUUGAUUAAGAUUUAAUUAAGAUUUAUUAGGAUUUGACUAGAAUUUGACUAGAAUUUGACUAGAAUUUAUUUAGGAUUGAUUAGGAUUUUAUUAGGAUUUGACUAGAAUUUGGUUAGGAUUUAAUUAAGAUUUCUAUUUUAAUAUUUUAUUAAGAUUUCUAUUUUAGUAUAUUUUAAAAUUUCUAUGUUAGUUCUU
rnacentral:lncRNA from 1 species